CCUACGGGUGGCAGCAGUGGGGAAUAUUGGACAAUGGGCGAAAGCCUGAUCCAGCCAUGCCGCGUGUGUGAAGAAGGCCUUCGGGUUGUAAAGCACUUUCAGUGGGGAAGAAAGCCUUGGGGCUAAUACCCUCGAGGAAGGACAUCACCCACAGAAGAAGCACCGGCUAACUCCGUGCCAGCAGCCGCGGUAAUACGGAGGGUGCGAGCGUUAAUCGGAAUUACUGGGCGUAAAGCGCGCGUAGGCGGUCUGAUAAGCCGGUUGUGAAAGCCACGGGCUCAACCUGGGAACGGCAUCCGGAACUGUCAGGCUAGAGUGCAGGAGAGGAAGGUAGAAUUCCCGGUGUAGCGGUGAAAUGCGUAGAGAUCGGGAGGAAUACCAGUGGCGAAGGCGGCCUUCUGGACUGACACUGACGCUGAGGUGCGAAAGCGUGGGUAGCAAACAGGAUUAGAUACCCCGGUAGUC
rnacentral:rRNA from 1 species